UACGUAGGGGACAAGCGUUGUCCGGAUUUACUGGGCGUAAAGAGCGCGCAGGCGGUCGUUCAAGUCGAGUGUGAAAGCCCCCGGCUCAACUGGGGAGGGUCAUUCGAUACUGAUCGACUUGAAGGCAGGAGAGGGAAGUGGAAUUCCCGGUGUAGUGGUGAAAUGCGUAGAUAUCAGGAGGAACACCGGUGGCGAAGGCGGCUACCUGGACAGAAACUGACGCUGAGGCGCGAAAGCUAGGGGAGCAAACAGG
rnacentral:rRNA from 1 species